rnacentral:tRNA from 1 species
GAAAAAUUUAGUUAAAAUCAUAACAUUAGUUUGUCAAACUAAAAUUAUUUAAGCAGGGGGAUAAUUUUU